rnacentral:sRNA from 2 species
UCAAAGCGGCAGCGCAAACCAUGAUAUAUAACUAAAAAGGCCGCUCUGCGGCCUUUUUCCUUUUCACUACCGAAUCAGCACCGUAGAAUCACCUUCAUCUCUUUUCAGCAGAAUGGAAAAC